rnacentral:rRNA from 1 species
AUUGAACGCUGGCGGCAGGCCUAACACAUGCAAGUCGAGCGGAGCGGCGGACGGGUGAGUAAUGCCUAGGAAUCUGCCUGGUAGUGGGGGAUAACGUUCGGAAACGGGAGCUAAUACCGCUUACUCUCAGAUGAGCCUAGGCCGGAUUAGCUAGUUGGUGGGGUAAAGGCCUACCAAGGCCUCGAUCCGUAACUGGUCUGAGAGGAUGAUCAGUCACACUGGAACUGAGACACGGUCCAGACUCCUACGGGAGGCAGCAGAGGGGAAUAUUGGACAAUGGGCGAAAGCCUGAUCCAGCCAUGCCGCGUGUGUGAAGAAGGUCUUCGGGUUGUAAAGCACUUUAAGUUGGGAGGCGUUACCAGCAGAAGAAGCACCGGCUAACUUCGUGCCAGCAGCCGCGGUAAUUC